GUGAGAAGUUUGUUGUGUGGAUUGUGUUGUAAGAUCUUAUUUUAUAGUUUGAAUUAAGGUUGUUGUAGUAAGGUGGAGAGUGAUUUGGAGUGCCUGGGAAAGGUGUUUGAAGGGAUUUUGGCAGAUUUGUGACAAAUUAAAUUUGGAAAAAUUUGGAGAACAUGAUUUUCUUUCCGAUUUUUGUUCCGAAUGUUUGGUUGUAUGUUGGAGUUGUUUUUGUAUACAUGCCAUUUCAGGUGUAUGGUUAUUAUUGGUAUUGAAAGGAAAGUGGGGGACAAGAAUUUGGUAAAGUUAUACAAAGAUGGAAAAAAGAGGUGUUAAGCGAAAGUGUGAAAAGAGUUAAAAAUAUACAAAUGUGUGCAAUUGUGUAUUAAAAAAAAGAAAAGA